rnacentral:rRNA from 1 species
GUGUCAGCAGCCGCGGUAAUACGUAGGGGGCGAGCGUUGUCCGGAUUUACUGGGCGUAAAGAGCGCGUAGGCGGUUGGGAGAGUCGGCUGUGAAAUCUCUGGGCCCAACCCAGAGGGGUCGGCCGAGACCUCCCGACUUGAGGGUGGUAGAGGAAGGUGGAAUUCCGGGUGUAGUGGUGAAAUGCGUAGAGAUCCGGAGGAACACCAGUGGCGAAGGCGGCCUUCUGGGCCACACCUGACGCUGAGGCGCGAAAGCGUGGGGAGCGAACCGAAUUAGAAACCCCAGUAGUCC